rnacentral:tRNA from 1 species
CGGGGUGUAGCUCAACUUGGCGGAGCGCCUGCUUUGGGAGCAGGAGGCCCCUGGUUCAAAUCCAGGUACCCCGA